rnacentral:rRNA from 1 species
AACCCGAUGCAAACUGCGAAUACCGGAGAAUGUUAUCACGGGAGACACACGGCGGGUGCUAACGUCCGUCGUGAAGAGGGAAACAACCCAGACCGCCAGCUAAGGUCCCAAAGUCAUGGUUAAGUGGGAAACGAUGUGGGAAGGCCCAGACAGCCAGGAUGUUGGCUUAGAAGCAGCCAUCAUUUAAAGAAAGCGUAAUAGCUCACUGGUCGAGUCGGCCUGCGCGGAAGAUGUAACGGGGCUAAACCAUGCACCGAAGCUGCGGCAGCGACGCUGAUGCGUUGUUGGGUAGGGGAGCGUUCUGUAAGCCUGCGAAGGUGUGCUGUGAGGCAUGCUGGAGGUAUCAGAAGUGCGAAUGCUGACAUAAGUAACGAUAAAGCGGGUGAAAAGCCCGCUCGCCGGAAGACCAAGGGUUCCUGUCCAACGUUAAUCGGGGCAGGGUGAGUCGACCCCUAAGGCGAGGCCGAAAGGCGUAGUCGAUGGGAAACAGGUUAAUAUUCCUGUACUUGGUGUUACUGCGAAGGGGGGACGGAGAAGGCUAUGUUGGCCGGGCGACGGUUGUCCCGGUUUAAGCGUGUAGGCUGGUUUUCCAGGCAAAUCCGGAAAAUCAAGGCUGAGGCGUGAUGACGAGGCACUACGGUGCUGAAGCAACAAAUGCCCUGCUUCCAGGAAAAGCCUCUAAGCAUCAGGUAACAUCAAAUCGUACCCCAAACCGACACAGGUGGUCAGGUAGAGAAUACCAAGGCGCUUGAGAGAACUCGGGUGAAGGAACUAGGCAAAAUGGUGCCGUAACUUCGGGAGAA